GGUACCUUUAAAUCAGUCCAGAGAGGCUGACAAGGACAGCGGAAUUGCUUAGAAAAAGAUGGUGUUAGAUUAUGCCCUUUUUCUAUGCUGAAAAAGAGGCUUCUUGUCAGAAUUAUGGCAAGAAGCCUCUUUUG
rfam:Rummeliibacillus stabekisii strain PP9, complete genome.